GAUAGAGGAUGCAAGCGUUAUCCGGAAUGAUUGGGCGUAAAGCGUCUGUAGGUGGCUUUUCAAGUCCGCCGUCAAAUCCCAGGGCUCAACCCUGGACAGGCGGUGGAAACUACCAAGCUGGAGUACGGUAGGGGCAGAGGGAAUUUCUGGUGGAGCGGUGAAAUGCGUAGAGAUCAGAAAGAACACUAAUGGCGAAAGCACUCUGCUGGGCCGACACUGACACUGAGAGAUGAAAGCUAGGGGAGCAAAUGGG
rnacentral:rRNA from 1 species